UAUUGUAGGUAUGCCUAGGCAGCACUCAUACCGCACAGGUUUUGGAGCUGCUCUGAAUAUUGAAACACUAAUUGCUGCUGCUGGGAGAAGGGAUACUCCAAUAGAGAUGCGAAAUCAAAAGAAUUUACUGAUGUCCUGAAAGAUUAGUACUAUCGUUUAGUUUCAUCAGCUGAGUUUUUUUAUGAUUAAUAAUAUUUCAGCUUCAAACCUUUAGUUUCAUCAGCUGAUUUUUACUUUACUGGGACAUUAUAUUUGACAGAGCAAGCAUUGAGCCAAAUUUUCAUGAGCUGUACUUGAAGUUCUUGGAGAAAGUUAAUUCAAGAUUGUUGAAUAAGGAGAUUGUCAAAGCUACUUAUGAGAAUUGCAAGGUUCUUCUAAGAUUAGAGCUUAUAAAAUCAAGUUUAGAAGAGAGUUCAUUACUAAAAAAUCUUGGUAGCUGGCUUGGGAAGUUCACGAUUGGCAGGAAUCAAGCAUUAAGAGCCCAG